UAGGGAAUUUUCGUCAAUGGGCGCAAGCCUGAACGAGCGAUGCCGCGUGAGUGAAGAAGGCCUUCGGGUCGUAAAGCUCUGUUGCGGGGGAAAAAAGGCAGCAUCAGGAAAUGGGUGCUGACUGAUGGUGCCCCGCCAGAAAGUCACGGCUAACUACGUCGCC
rnacentral:rRNA from 1 species